UACGUAGGGUGCAAGCGUUGUCCGGAAUUAUUGGGCGUAAGAGCUCGUAGGCGGUCAGUCGCGUCUGCUGUGAAAACUCGGGGCUUAACUCCGGGCCUGCAGUGGGUACGGGCUGACUAGAGUGCGGUAGGGGAGACUGGAAUUCCUGGUGUAGCGGUGAAAUGCGCAGAUAUCAGGAGGAACACCGGUGGCGAAGGCGGGUCUCUGGGCCGUAACUGACGCUGAGGAGCAGAAGUGCGUGG
rnacentral:rRNA from 1 species